rnacentral:tRNA from 10 species
GCGGAAGUGGCUCAGUUGGUAGAGCAUCACCUUGCCAAGGUGAGGGUCGCGGGUUCGAGUCCCGUCUUCCGCUCCA